CAGAAAUAAUCAGACACCCAUUUUUCAAGCUAGCAUAUAAUGUCACAAAAACCCAGAAGACAGCUAAAUGCAGCACUAACCUUUGAUGAUCUUCAUCAGAUGACACACCUAGGACAUUAUGUUAUACAAUACAUGCAUGUUUUGUUCAAUCAAGUUCAUAUUUAUAUAAAAAAAAGCUUUUUACAUUAGCAUGUGACGUUCAGAACUAGCAUACCCGCCGCAAACUUCCGGGGAAUUUACUAACAAUUUACUAAAUUACUCACGAUAAACGUUCACAAAAAGCAUAACAAUUAUUUUAAGAAUUAUAGAUACAGAACUCCUCUAUGCACUCGAUAUGUCCGAUUUUAAAAUAGCUUUUUGGUGAAAGCACAUUUGGCAAUAUUCUAAGUACAUAGCCCAGCCAUCACGGGCUAGCUAUUUAGACACCCGGCAAGUUUAGCCUUCACCAAAAUCAGAUUUACUAUAACAAAAAUGUUAUUACCUUUGUUGUCUUCGUCAGAAUGCACUCCCAGGACUGCUACUUCAAUAACAAAUGUUGGUUUGGUCCCAAAUAAUCCAUCGUUAUAUCCGAAUAGCGGCGUUUUGUUCAUGCGUUCCAGAAACUAUCCGAAAUGGUAAAUCAGGGUCGUGCGCAUGGCGCAAUUCGUGACAAAAAAAUUCUAAAUAUUCCAUUACCGUACUUCGAAGCAUGUCAACCGCAGUUUAAAAUCAAUUUUUAUGCAAUUUAUCUCGUAAAAAAGCGAUAAUAUUCCGACCGGGAAUCUCCUUUUCGGCAAACAGAGGAAAAAUCACAAAGACGGGGGCGGCCAGUGCACGCGCCUAAGCCCACAGUCCCUUGAUCGGCCACUUGAGAAAGGCGAUAAUGUGUUUCAGCCUGGGGCUGGAAUGACGACAUUCAGGUUUUUCCCGGGCUCUGAGAGCCUAUUGGAGCCGUGGGAAGUGUCACGUUAGAGCAGAGAUCCUUUGUAAUGGAAUGAGAUGUCAAAGAAAGACAAUAAAUGGUCAGACAGGCCACUUCCUGUAAAGGAAUCUCUCAGGUUUUGACCUGCCAUUUGAGUUCUGUUAUACUCACAGACACCAUUCAAACAGUUUUAGAAACUUUGGAGUGUUUUCUAUCCAAAGCCAAUAAUUAUAUGCAUAUUCUAGUUACUGGGCAGGAGUAGUAACCAGAUUAAAUCGGGUACGUUUUUUAUCCAGCCGUGAAAAUACUGACCCCUAGCCAUAACAGGUAAAUUCUUCCCAAAGGGUCAAUACAGCUGCAUUCAGACAUUGACAUUUCACUCAAGCACUGAUAUUUAACCCUUUCUCCUAGGCUGAGUCUCCUCCUCCACAUCUGAACAGCCAAUGCAUCUCUGUUGCUAGACAGAACCUUAGUGAUAUCUGUUCUUCCUCACUUCAUCUGACCUGACCUCUACCCCAUAGUGCUUACUCCUCCCCAACUCAAGGCUGUCAUGGUGAUUGAUACCAGACUGUGUGUCUUCUCCUCCCAGAAGAUCCCUCCCAUAAGAUCCCUGAUGGCUAACAGUAACAUAUCCUGACAUAAUGUAAGUGUUAUACAUUACCCUCUCUCCCUCAGUGACAUUGUUAGGUUCUAAGAUCUCCAUCCGUCUCCCCUACACAUUCCAAAGCCAUCUGGCUCCUACAGAUAACCAUUAACUUCUGAUUAUAACAAUGUUCCAAGUUUAACCCAGAAUCUAACAGGUUGAAUUGUGUUUGGGAAAUAAAUGUAGACAUGGUUUUAAAAAAGUAGUGGUAAUACAGUAUUUCAUUCAGUACAGAAAUGUGUAGGCGGCUUAAUUAACCCCAUGUCAGGUGUAAGUUGCGCCAAGAUACCUACUUUUUGGGUUUACAUGAAUUCUGAUCAUUUUCUGGAAUACACAACAUCCUGAAAUAUAUGUAGAUAUCUUUGUUUGAAAGAAAACUAUCAUUCUCUUGACGGAGUGAUACUGAAUGUAUAAAAUGGCUCAACUUACCCCUCUCUCCCCUGCGUGGGAUGGCGCUGACAGAAAUGGUCGCCUCGUUUCGCUUUCUUAGGAAACUAUGCAGUAUUUAGUUUUUUUAUGUAUUAUUUCUUACACGGUUACCCCAGAAAAUCUCAAGUCUUAUUACAUACAGCCGGGAAGAACUAUUGGAAAGAAGAGCAACCUCAGCUUACCAACAUUACGACCAGGAAUACGACUUUCCCGAAGCGGAUACUCUGUUUGGACCACCACCCAGGACAAUGGCUCAGAUCCCAGUAGGCGACCCAAAACAACGGCGCCGCAGAAUGAGCAAACGGCGCGGUCUCCUGGUCAGGCUCCGUAGACGAGCACAUCCCUCACCGCUCCCGAGUAUACUACUCACCAAUGUCCAGUCUCUUCACAACAAGGUAGACAAAAUUUGUGCAAUGGUUGCCUUCCAGAGAGACAGGUUGCCUUCCUGUCUCUGCCUGGCCGGUUCCCCUCUCUCCACUGGGAUUCUCUGCCUCUAACCCUAUUACAGGGGCUGAGUCACUGGCUUACUUGGUGUUCUUCCAUGCCGUCCCUAGGAGGGGUGCGUCACUUGAGUGGGUUGAGUCCCUGACGUGGUCUUCCUGUCUGGGUUGGCGCCCCUCCCCCCCUUGGGUUGUGCCGUGGCGGAGAUCUUUGUGGGCUAUACUCGGCCUUGUCUCAGAAUGGACCUGAGCCCUAGGACCAUGCCUCAGGACUACCUGGCAUGAUGACUCCUUGCUGUCCCCAGUCCACCUGGCCGUGCUGCUGCUCCAGUUUCAACUGUUCUGCCUGCGGCUAUGGAACCCUGACCUGUUCACCGGACGUGCUACCUGUCCCAGACCUGCUGUUUUCAACUCUCUAGAGACAGCAGGAGCGGUAGAGAUACUCUCAAUGAUCUGCUAUGAAAAGCCAACUGACAUUUACUCUUGAGGUGCUGACUUGUUGCACCCUCGACAACUACUGUGAUUAUUAUUAUUUGACCAUGCUGGUCAUUUAUGAACAUUUGAACAUCUUGGCCAUGUUCUGUUAUAAUCUCCACCCGGCACAGCCAAAAGAGGACUGGCCACCCCUCAUAGCAUGGUUCCUCUCUAGGUUUCUUCCUAGGUUUUGGCCUUUCUAGGGAGAUUUUCCUAGCCACCGUGCUUCUACACCUGUAUUGCUUGCUGUUUGGGGUUUUAGGCUGGGUUUCUGUACAGCACUUUGAGAUAUUAGCUGGUGUAAGAAGGGCUAUAUAAAUAAAUUUGAUUUGACAUCAGAGAUUUAACAUUCUCUGUUUCACGGAAACUUGGCUCACUCGGGAUACGUUAUCAGAGUCGGUACAGUCACCCGGUUUCUUCACGCAUCGUGCCGACAGAAACAAACAUCUCUCUGGUAAGAAAAAGGGCUGGGAUGUAUGCCUUACGAUUAACGAGUCGUGGUGUGAUCAUAACAACAUUCACGAACACAAGUCCUUUUUUUCACCUGACCUAGAAUUCCUUAUAAUCAAAUGCUGACCGCAUUAUCUACCAAGAGAAUACCCUUCGAUUAUAAUCACAGCCGUGUAUAUCCCCCCCCCCCCAAGUAGACACCUCGACGGCCCUGACGGAACAUCACUGGACUCUGUGUAAACUGGAAACCACAUAUGCUGAGGCUGCAUUUAUUGUAGAUGGGGAUUUUAACAAAGCUAAUCUGAAAACAAGGCUCCCUAAAUUUUAUCAGCAUAUCGAAUGCGCGACCCGGGCUGGCAGCAUUGUGGAUCAUUGCUACUCUAACUUCCGCGACGCAUACAAAGCCCUCCCUCGCCUUCCUUUCAGCAAAUCUGACGACGACUCCAUUUUGUUGCUCCCAGCCUAUAGACAGAAACUAAAACAGGAAACACCCGUGCUCAGGUCUGUUCAACGCUGGUCCGACCAAUCUUAUUCCACGCUUCAAGAUUGCUUCGAUCACGUGGACUGGGAUAUGUUCCGGAUAGCCUGAGACAACAACAUUGAUGUAUCCGCUGAUUCGGUGAGUGAGUUUAUUAGCAAGUGCAUCAGUAAUGUUGUACCCACGGUGACUAUUAAAACCUUCCCCAACCAGAAACCAUUGAUUGAUGGUAGCAUUCGCGCAAAACUGAAAGCGUGAACCAUUGCUUUUAAUCAUGGCAAGCAGCCCAGAAACAUGACCAAAUACAAACAGUGUAGCUAUUCCCUCCGCAAGGCAAUCAAACAAGCUAAGCGUCAGUAUAGAGACAAGGUACAGCCGCAUGUCAACGGCUGAGACACGAGACGUAUGUGGCAGGGUAUACAGUCAAUCACGGAUUACAAAAAUAAAACCAGCGUCGCGGACACCGACAUAUUGCUCCCAGACAAACUAAACAACUUCUUUGCUCACUUUGAGGACAAUACAUUGCCAUUGACACAGCCCGCUACCAAAACCUGCAGGCUCUCCUUCACCGCAGCCAACGUGAGUAAAACAUUUAAACGUGUUAACCCUCGCAAGGCUGCCUACCCAGACAGCAUCCCUAGCCGCGUCCUCAGAGCAUGCGCAGACCAGCUAGCUAGUGUGUUUACGGACAUAUUCAAUCAAUCCCUAUCCCUGUCUGCUGUUCCCACAAGCUUCAAGAGGGCCACCAUUAUUACUGUUCCCAAGAAAGCUGAAAUAACUGAGCUAAACGACUAUUGCCCCGUAGCACUCACUUCCGUCAUCAUGAAGUGCUUCGAGAGACUAGUCAAGGAUCAUAUCACCUCCACCAUACCUGACACCCUAGACCCACUCCAACUUGCUUACCGUCCCAAUAGGUCCACAGACGACACAAUCGCAAUCACACUGCACACUGCCCUAACCCAUCUGGACAAGAGGAAUACCUAUGUAAGAACGCUGUUCAUCAAUUACAGCUCAGCAUUUAACACCAUAGUCCACCAUAGUACCCUCCAAACGCAACAGCGCCUCUUCAACCUCAGGAGGCUGAGGAAAUUUGGCUUGUCACCGAAAACACUCACAAAUUUUACAGAUGCACAAUCAAGAGCAUCCUGUCGGGCUGUAUCACCGCCUGGUACGGCAACUGCUCUGCCCACAACCGUAAGGCUCUCCAGAGGGUAGUGUGGUCUGCACAACGCAUCACCGGGGGAGAAACUACCUGUUCUCUAGGAAGACCUACACCACCCGAUGUCACAGGAAGGCCAAAAAGAUCAUCAAGGACAACAACCACCCAAACCACUGUCUGUUCACCCCGCUGUCAUCCAGAAGGCGAGCUCAGUUUGGGACCCUUAAUCCAGGCUGGACAGGAGGAAGUCAACCUGCAUUUCUAGAUUCACCAUCACCUGCCACGAGAGCCUCUGUGGGCUUUCAUAGAUGGACUCAUCGAGGUUGAAGAUGGAGUCCAACCACGCCUUCAUCUGAUCCUGACGACAACAGACACAUCAACUAUUAUUUAAUGACCAACUACAAAGAUAAGGAUGAACAAACCAUCACACACAGUUCAGGAUAGAGAGAGAGAGAGAGAGAGAGAGAGAGAGAGAGAGAGAGAGAGAGAGAGAGGGGGAGAGAGAAAUGCACCUUAAGGAGGAGGUAGAAGUUCCCAGCAGACUCUGUCCAGGCUCCUCCAGGAGGGUGAAUCGUCAUUAUCACUUCAAUGAGCAGAUAAAAGAAGGUACCAGGCCUCUGGAGAAGGAACAGGGGACAUGAGUGAGUGUCUACAGACCUGGUAUGGCUACAGUGUGGAUAGGGUAGAUAAACAACAAGAUGUUUACAUUAUUAGGGCCACUUACAGAUGUUGGAAGAGAUGUUUUUCCUUCUAGAAGGCUUAGUAGAACGAAUUCAUAAAAUACAUCCGUGAAGUUGAUGUGGUUGAUCUGAAGUCGAACAAAUAAGAUAAUUACAUCAUUUUCAUUGACAAGC
rnacentral:lncRNA from 1 species